GGUUAGUCUGGAAAGGAAGGCUGGGUGCAGCAAAUGAAGAGGGCACGCGGGUUUCUGGGUGUUGACAAGGUUCUAGCUGAGUGGCACAUCAAAAGCCGUACCUUUUGGGGUUGCACACUCUGAGGGUUGGCAAGAGAAAGGGGACAGGUCAGAAGAGAAAGGUGAAGAGGAGAGCGCCCUAAUGGAGAAGAGCUCCGUGCGGAUGGCAAAGUGUGGACCGCCGGCGCGGCGCGCGCAGCGCAGGCUAGAGAUGGCAAGGGAGAUGUCUGCAGUGCUGUCCUUCAUCACUAUGAACAACCAGUGCUACAGAGUUCAGACAGGUCAGACCGUCGGUCCGUGCCCUGUAAGAAAGGUGGUGAAUGGCCAAGGCCUUACCCGGAACUGUGAGCACGGGUAUGAGAAGAGGUGCACUUUGCCGAAGUCAUCGCCUGUGCACAAGAGCUUUCUCUCGUGAGCCCGGCAGACGGCGUUGAUGUCUGUCCCAUCGGAGCCCUCCGGCCACACUCCUGGAACAGAGCACAGAGGCACUGGAAACUUCAGAGCCACAGCACACAAACGCUGGUCACCAAAGGGGACAGAAAUCCACCUUCAGUCUGGGCUUUAGAAUGGAGAGCCGGGCGGGCGACCACUCGUUUCCAGCUCCCGCCUCUCUCUAGCUCUGGGUUGCAGGGCACCCAGGGUCAGCCCUGAGAAGCCCUGCAUCUCUUCUAACAGCUGUGCUAAGUCACACAGCCCCGGCAGUGUCCUGAGCUGCCUGCAUCCACUGGACCCUUCUGGGUGCAGCGGCAGGCACCACGGCCCUGCUUAUAAACUGAUGUCUUUCCACUGUAAGUCCUGUAAGUGCAGGGUACCUGGAGAAUAGGGGCACUGUGUCCUGGGAGAGGCUUUUGGUUGAGAGCAUUGUAUAUUAGAGGCCUGAGUACACACCAGCUCCUUAGUAGGCAGAACAGCAGGAAAUAGGGAAACGCCACACUGAGAGGACUUAGGAAUUCCUACCAGCCGACUGACUCCCAAUUGCUCCGACUGUAGCAACGCAUUGUGAGCUAUUUAUGAAUGUAUUCCUAAGAUGAGCUUUGAAAGAAGUGAACGUUUUAGGCGGUAGGUAAGUAAGUCAAGUGUCAUGUGUUCCUGUGGGUAUAACAUCAUCCACAUAACCACUAGGGGGCGCUGUCCUGUGCCUCGGGAAGAGUUAAUUACCCCCUCAGCCUGAGCCUGGGAGCUGAGGAGAUUGUGAAUCAUGGCCCCAGGUGGGAACAGAACAGAUGGACAAGACUGAAAGUGGUGGGAACAAGGUUCGAGUCCCGGCACCUCCGUGGCAGCUCACAACUAUGGGUAACUCUAGUGCCAGUGGGGAUCUGAUGCCCUCUUUGGUUUCCACAGGCACUGCAGUUUCACAAAAGCAAAAUGUUCAUACCAAUAAACAAUUAAAAAUAAACCC
rnacentral:lncRNA from 1 species